GCUUAACGCGAAGAACCUUACCUACCUUUGAAUCCACGGAACCUAGCAGAGAUGUUGGGGUGCCUUCGGGAACCGUGAGACAGGUGCUGCAUGGCUGUCGUCAGCUCGUGUCGUGAGAUGUUGGGUUAAGUCCCGUAACGAGCGCAACCCUUGUCCUUAGUUGCCAUCAGGUUAUGCUGGGCACUUUAAGGAGACUGCCGGUGAUAAACCGGAGGAAGGUGGGGAUGACGUCAAGUCCUCAUGGCCCUUACAGGUAGGGCUACACACGUGCUACAAUGGGCAGUACAGAGGGAAGCCAACCCGCGAGGUGGAGCUAAUCUCAGAAAGCCGAUCGUAGUCCGGAUUGUUCUCUGCAACUCGACUGCGUGAAGUCGGAAUCGCUAGUAAUCGCGAAUCAGAAUGUCGCGGUGAAUACGUUCCCGGGUCUUGUACACACC
rnacentral:rRNA from 1 species